AUUCAUCUUCGGGGCGUGGUGAAAUUCCCGACCGGCGGUAAUGAAACAACGGUUUCUAAGCCCGCGAGCUUCUUUGAAGCAGGAUUUGGUGUGAUUCCAAAGCCGACAGUAUAGUCUGGAUGGGAGAAGAUGGAG
rfam:Bacillus galactosidilyticus strain PL133 scaffold000095, whole genome shotgun sequence.